rnacentral:rRNA from 1 species
GAUGAACGCUGGCGGCGUGCCUAAUACAUGCAAGUCGGGCGAACGGACGAGAAGCUUGCUUCUCUGAUGUUAGCGGCGGACGGGUGAGUAACACGUGGAUAACCUACCUAUAAGACUGGGAUAACUUCGGGAAACCGUAGCUAAUACCGGAUAAUAUUUUGAACCGCAUGGUUCAAAAGUGAAAGACGGUCUUGCUGUCACUUAUAGAUGGAUCCGCGCUGCAUUAGCUAGUUGGUAAGGUAACGGCUUACCAAGGCAACGAUGCAUAGCCGACCUGAGAGGGUGAUCGGCCACACUGGAACUGAGACACGGUCCAGACUCCUACGGGAGGCAGCAGUAGGGAAUCUUCCGCAAAGGGCGAAAGCCUGACGGAGCAACGCCGCGUGAGUGAUGAAGGUCUUCGGAUCGUAAAACUCUGUUAUUAGGGAAGAACAUAUGUGUAAGUAACUGUGCACAUCUUGACGGUACCUAAUCAGAAAGCCACGGCUAACUACGUG